CUGCAACCUCCGCCUACCGGCUUCAAGCAAUUCUCCUGCAAUUCUCCUGUCUCUGCCUCCCGAGUAGCUGGAAUUACAGGCACGCACCACUGUGCCCAGCUAAUUUUUGUAUUUUUAGUAGAGACGGGGUUUCACGAUAUUGGCCAGGCUGGUCUUGAACUCCUGACCUCAAGUGAUCCAGCUGCCUCGGCCUCCCAAGGUGCUGGGAUUACAGGCGUGAGCCACCGCACCCGGCUGACUAGCUGCAGAUUUCUAAGUCAAUACUUGAAGUGAGGAUGGUGUUCUUCAUUAAGUUAUCAAAUACUGGAGAAAAAAUCAAUUUAGUAAAGCACCUGUGAUGCCCUGUGACUACAGAGUUCCAGUAGAACUAUAAUCUGUGGAAGUUCAAGAAGACUUAAAGCAGGUACAAAAGCAGCCAGAGUCACUCCUAUCUCCAUUGCUUACAUGAGUGAGAGAUGUGAGUAUUGCCCAGUGGAACAGAUGAGAAGUAAUCACAGAUAUUAUUGCAAAAAUCAGAAAGUCAAAGAACAACAGAACUCAUUUGACUGUAUGGGGCCUAAGAACUUACCAGUGAGAGAGAAAUGCACAGCACAG
rnacentral:lncRNA from 10 species